UACGUAGGCAGCAAGCGUUGUUCGGAAUUACUGGGCGUAAAGAGUGUGUAGGCGGUUCUCUAAGUUCCGUGUGAAAUCUCCCGGCUUAACCUGGGAGGGUGCGCGGAAGACUGGGAGGGCUGGAGUAUGGGAGAGGAAAGCGGAAUUCCUGGUGUAGCGGUGAAAUGCGUAGAGCUCCGGAGGAACACCAGUGGCGAAGGCGGGCGCUCGUGGGCCGGUACGUGGACACUGAGGA
rnacentral:rRNA from 1 species